UACGUAGGGUGCGAGCGUUAAUCGGAAUUACUGGGCGUAAAGCGUGCGCAGGCGGCUUGCCCAAGUCAGAUGUGAAAGCCCCCGGGCUUCAACCCCGGGGAACUGCGUUUGAAACUGGCAGGCUAGAGUUUGGCAGAGGGGGGGUGGAAUUCCACGUGUAGCAGUGAAAUGCGUAGAGAUGUGGGAGGAACACCCGAUGGCGAAGGCAGCCCCCCUGGGCCAAAAACUGACGCUCAGGCACGAAAGCGUGGGGGAGCAAACAGG
rnacentral:rRNA from 1 species